CAGUCGAACGAGGGUCCUUCGGGACUCGAGUGGCGAACGGGUGAGUAACACGUAGGGAACCUGCCCGUGCGACCGGGAGAACUUUCGGAAACGGAAGCUGAUACCGGAUAGGGACAGAGACGGCAUCGACUCUGUGUUAAAGGAGCUGCAAGGCUCCGCGCACGGAUGGACCUGCGGUGCAUUAGCUAGUUGGUGAGGUAACGGCCCACCAAGGCGACGAUGCAUAGCCGGCCUGAGAGGGCGGACGGCCACACUGGGACUGAGACACGGCCCAGACUCCUACGGGAGGCAGCAGUAGGGAAUUUUCGUCAAUGGGCGCAAGCCUGAACGAGCAAUGCCGCGUGAACGAGGAAGGUCUUCGGAUCGUAAAGUUCUGUUGAAGGGGAAAAAGAGCGGAGAGAGGAAAUGAACUCCGAUUGAUAUUACCCUUCGAGGAAGUCACGGCUAACUACGUGCCAGCAGCCGCGGUAAUACGUAGGUGGCGAGCGUUAUCCGGAAUGAUUGGGCGUAAAGGGUGCGUAGGCGGCCUGCUAAGUCUGGAGUGAAAGGUACCGGCUCAACCGGUAUAGGCUCUGGAAACUGGCGGGCUAGAGAGCAGGAGAGGGCGGUGGAACUCCAUGUGUAGCGGUAAAAUGCGUAGAUAUAUGGAAGAACACCAGUGGCGAAGGCGGCCGCCUGGCCUGUUACUGACGCUGAGGCACGAGAGCGUGGGGAGCAAAUAGGAUUAGAUACCCUAGUAGUCCACGCCGUAAACGAUGAGGACCAAGUGUUGGGGAAGACCCAGUGCUGCAGUUAACGCAGUGAGUCCUCCGCCUGGGGAGUAUGCACG
rnacentral:rRNA from 1 species